AUUUACAAUUUUAAGAGUAAAUGAUGGGCUGAGGGAAAAAAGGAAAUAUUAAGUACAGCUUCUGUCCCUGUGUAGAGAGAACUACUUUACCUGCCCUUUCAUAUCAUUUAUGCCUGGACUGGAGAACCAAAUGUAUCUUACAGUUCAGAGAUUCAAGGUCAAUAAACAUCCUUCAAAGAGUUCAUUCCCACUUCUGGAAGCUGAGCCAGAUCUUAGGCUUCCCUGGUUUUCUGUUGCCCUCAGUUGGCUUAUUUUCUAGACCAGAACAGCUUUUCCAGACUCUAAUCUGGCUAGUCUUGUGAUGUUUGCUGUUCACGUCUUUAACCCAGAGAAGUUGCUGCAUUGAUCCUCAACACUGGUUUCCUGAUUUCCCUCUUCCUGUCACUACCACAAAUUGAGGGACAACCCACCUCCGCAGAUUGAAAAUCCAAAUGGGCCAGUAGAAGAAAAACUGAAGAGGAUUGUUUCUGUUGAAGUAAAGGGUGCUCACAAAAUAGGCUGACCAGUUCUCUGGUGGUUACCGCUACUGAUCCAUCCAAACUGCUGGACUUCUCGUUCAUACCCAAGGCCUCCAGGCAGUAUCUAAUGAGGAGUCAACACUAAAAGGAACCAGAUCAUCAUUUCCCAGCCCCUUUAUUCUGGUGACUGAUGGACGAGUGCGAGAGGAAUAUAUUUGCUUGUUUAAUGGGUGGGAAACAGAUCAAGUUACUGUACCUCUUCAGUUUCUAUUCUCAAGUUCUGCAACUGUGCUACUUGGAUCAUAUAUAUGGGGGGAAGUUGAAGAUGUGUCUUUGAUUAGAAGUGUCUGGAGGGGAUAAGAGUCAGUUUGAAAUAUGUUUAAGUCCUGAAAUAAUGUGCCCAUCUGAGGAAUUUUUAAAAACAAGUUUAUAAAAAUACCAUAGAUGGAGCCUGCCCCCUCAUUUCCCCACCACAGAUUUCUGGGACUGGAGACACGUGUUUAAUAAUAGCUUGUCUCUGAUAUUCACAGUAGCUACCUCUAUGUGAGGAAAGGAUAGAAAACAUUCAAGACUUCAUUCGGGCUUAUGAUCUACAGAUUCCAACCAGUAGCAGUGGCUGACUCCUACACAGAAGACUGGGAACUGCAAACAGGCUGGGGUCACCUCAGUGACAUCUGACGCUGUCCAACCAGAAGUCUGACUUUUUUCCGGGGGAGGAGGGGUGGAAAAUGUACUAAAAGACUAAAAUAAUUUUGUCUCUA